ensembl:lncRNA
CAGACACUGGUUUAUAUAGUCACUGUCCCCUCUUCUCUUUUUGGACAUUUCUAUAUUUAUCUCUUCCUCUUUAAGUCUCACCAUCCUUUUAUCAACUCUUACCUCUUAUCUCUCUCCUCUCUGUCGUCUGUCUCUCUCUCCUCUCUGUCGUCUGUCUCUCUCCUCUCUGUCGUCUGUCUCUCUCUCCUCUCUGUCGUCUGUAUCUCUCUCCUCUCUGUCGUCUGUCUCUCUCCUCUCUGUCGUCUGUAUCUCUCCUCUCUGUCAUCUGUAUCUCUCUCUCUGUCCUCUGUAUCUCUCCUCUCUGUCGUCUGUCUCUCCUCUCUGUCGUCUGUCUCUCUCUCCUCUCUGUCGUCUGUCUCUCUCCUCUCUGUCGUCUGUCUCUCUCCUCUCUGUCGUCUGUAUCUCUCCUCUCUGUCGUCUGUCUCUCUCCUCUCUGUCGUCUGUCUCUCUCUCCUCUCUGUCGUCUGUCUCUCUCCUCUCUGUCGUCUGUCUCUUCCUCUCUGUCGUCUGUCUCUCUCUCCUCUCUGUCGUCUGUAUCUCUCUCCUCUCUGUCGUCUGUCUCUCUCCUCUGUCGUCUGUAUCUCUCCUCUCUGUCGUCUGUAUCUCUCCUCUCUGUCCUCUGUAUCUCUCCUCUCUGUCGUCUGUCUCUCUCCUCUCUGUCGUCUGUUCUCUCUCCUCUCUGUCGUCUGUCUCUUCCUCUCUGUCGUCUGUCUCUCUCCUCUCUGUCGUCUGUAUCUCUCUCCUCUCUGUCGUCUGUCUCUCUCCUCUCUGUCGUCUGUCUCUCUCCUCUCUGUCGUCUGUAUCUCUCUCCUCUCUGUCGUCUGUCUCUCUCUCCUCUCUGUCGUCUGUAUCUCUCUCCUCUCUGUCGUCUGUAUCUCUCCUCUCUGUCGUCUGUCUCUCUCUCCUCUCUGUCGUCUGUCUCUCUCCUCUCUGUCGUCUGUAUCUCUCCUCUCUGUCGUCUGUCUCUCUCCUCUCUGUCGUGUGUCUCUCUCUCUCUGUCGUCUGUAUCUCUCUCCUCUCUGUCGUCUGUCUCUUCCUCUCUGUCGUCUGUCUCUCUCUCCUCUCUGUCGUCUGUAUCUCUCCUCUCUGUCGUCUGUCUCUCUCCUCUGUCGUCUGUCUCUCUCCUCUCUGUCGUCUGUAUCUCUCCUCUCUGUCGUCUGUAUCUCUCUCCUCUCUGUCGUCUGUAUCUCUCUCCUCUCUGUCGUCUGUCUCUCUCUCCUCUCUGUCGUCUGUAUCUCUCCUCUCUGUCGUCUGUCUCUCUCUCUCUCUGUCGUCUGUCUCUCUCUCCUCUCUGUCGUCUGUAUCUCUCCUCUCUGUCGUCUGUCUCUCUCCUCUCUGUCGUCUGUAUCCUCUCUCUCUGUCGUCUGUCUCUCUCCUCUCUGUCGUCUGUAUCUCUCCUCUCUGUCGUCUGUAUCUCUCUCCUCUCUGUCGUCUGUCUCUCCUCUCUGUCGUCUGUAUCUCUCCUCUCUGUCGUCUGUCUCUCUCCUCUCUGUCGUCUGUAUCUCUCCUCUCUGUCGUCUGUAUCUCUCCUCUCUGUCGUCUGUCUCUCUCUCCUCUCUGUCGUCUGUCUCUCUCUCCUCUCUGUCGUCUGUAUCUCUCCUCUCUGUCGUCUGUAUCUCUCCUCUCUGUCGUCUGUAUCUCUCCUCUCUGUCGUCUGUCUCUCUCUCCUCUCUGUCGUCUGUCUCUCUCUCCUCUCUGUCGUCUGUAUCUCUCCUCUCUGUCGUCUGUCUCUCUCUCCUCUCUGUCGUCUGUAUCUCUCCUCUCUGUCGUCUGUCUCUCUCUCCUCUCUGUCGUCUGUCUCUCUCUCCUCUCUGUCGUCUGUAUCUCUCCUCUCUGUCGUCUGUCUCUCUCUCCUCUCUGUCGUCUGUCUCUCUCUCCUCUCUGUCGUCUGUAUCUCUCUCCUCUCUGUCGUCUGUCUCUCUCUCCUCUCUGUCGUCUGUAUCUCUCCUCUCUGUCGUCUGUCUCUCUCCUCUCUGUCGUCUGUCUCUCUCCUCUCUGUCGUCUGUCUCUCUCUCCUCUCUGUCGUCUGUCUCUCUCCUCUCUGUCGUCUGUAUCUCUCUCCUCUCUGUCGUCUGUCUCUCUCUCCUCUCUGUCGUCUGUCUCUCUCUCCUCUCUGUCGUCUGUAUCUCUCCUCUCUGUCGUCUGUCUCUCUCUCCUCUCUGUCGUCUGUAUCUCUCCUCUCUGUCGUCUGUCUCUCUCCUCUCUGUCGUCUGUCUCUCUCUCCUCUCUGUCGUCUGUAUCUCUCCUCUCUGUCGUCUGUCUCUCUCUCCUCUCUGUCGUCUGUCUCUCUCCUCUCUGUCGUCUGUCUCUCUCUCCUCUCUGUCGUCUGUAUCUCUCCUCUCUGUCGUCUGUAUCUCUCCUCUCUGUCGUCUGUAUCUCUCCUCUCUGUCGUCUGUCUCUCUCUCCUCUCUGUCGUCUGUCUCUCUCCUCUCUGUCGUCUGUCUCUCUCCUCUCUGUCGUCUGUAUCUCUCUCCUCUCUGUCGUCUGUAUCUCUCCUCUCUGUCGUCUGUCUCUCUCUCCUCUCUGUCGUCUGUCUCUCUCCUCUCUGUCGUCUGUAUCUCUCCUCUCUGUCGUCUGUAUCUCUCCUCUCUGUCGUCUGUAUCUCUCCUCUCUGUCGUCUGUAUCUCUCCUCUCUGUCGUCUGUAUCUCUCCUCUCUGUCGUCUGUCUCUCUCUCCUCUCUGUCGUCUGUAUCUCUCCUCUCUGUCGUCUGUCUCUCUCCUCUCUGUCGUCUGUCUCUCUCUCCUCUCUGUCGUCUGUCUCUCUCUCCUCUCUGUCGUCUGUAUCUCUCCUCUCUGUCGUCUGUAUCUCUCCUCUCUGUCGUCUGUAUCUCUCUCCUCUCUGUCGUCUGUCUCUCUCUCCUCUCUGUCGUCUGUCUCUCUCUCCUCUCUGUCGUCUGUCUCUCUCCUCUCUGUCGUCUGUAUCUCUCCUCUCUGUCGUCUGUAUCUCUCCUCUCUGUCGUCUGUCUCUCUCCUCUCUGUCGUCUGUCUCUCUCCUCUCUGUCGUCUGUAUCUCUCCUCUCUGUCGUCUGUAUCUCUCUCCUCUCUGUCGUCUGUCUCUCUCCUCUCUGUCGUCUGUCUCUCUCCUCUCUGUCGUCUGUAUCUCUCCUCUCUGUCGUCUGUAUCUCUCUCCUCUCUGUCGUCUGUCUCUCUCCUCUCUGUCGUCUGUCUCUCUCCUCUCUGUCGUCUGUCUCUCUCCUCUCUGUCGUCUGUCUCUCUCCUCUCUGUCGUCUGUCUCUCUCUCCUCUCUGUCGUCUGUCUCUCUCCUCUCUGUCGUCUGUCUAUCUCUCCUCUCUGUCGUCUGUAUCUCUCUCCUCUCUGUCGUCUGUCUCUCUCCUCUCUGUCGUCUGUAUCUCUCCUCUCUCCAACUUUCUCUCAUCUACUGUUGAGUCGCUAAUUUUCCCGCCUGUGAUCCACAGAAUCGAUUGGCUAAGUGAAGUCACGUGGGAUGGCUUCACUCCCAUUCAACUGGCCAAUGCGUUCUCGCGUCCACUAAAUAACUACCGUAACUAUCUCAAUAGCUGCGCCCUUUAA